rnacentral:tRNA from 1 species
GGGGUCGUGGCCCAGUCCGGCAGGGCGACUGACUCCAGAUCAGUCGAUCGGGGGUUCAAAUCCCUCCGACCCCA